AUUCCUUUGAGUGGGGUUUGAAUGCCUGAUUGUUAUGCUACUGUAUAAUCUCUGUUACUGUAGGAUAUCUUUCUCUCAGUGGGUUUUUAUCUCUAUCUACGUUCACCGAAACACUGAGGUUUCUGUUGUUACCAGCUCUAACCACUGGGGGGAGACAAACAAAAUCCUAUUUUAUCCUCAACAGAUUGUCUAGAGCCCCAUAGUAAGUAACCACUAGAAGUCUGGAAGCACAAGCACCUACUUUUUGCUUAAUCAUACGUUAUUGUUAUAUACCAUGGUGAGAUAGCUUUUGAAACAAAUCCGGUUCUCAGCAUUGAUGGUGUUGGUUGUUCCUCGGAUUACCAUUUGCAUAGAGAGGACACUUUGCAUUAGCAGUGCAUGCUUCAGUGGUCUGGGAGUGUUUAUAUCCCUGUGAGUUUAACACUUCAUGACUGAGAGCUGUCCUUCAUGACAACAGAACCCACAACAACCAUGACUUUUAGCACCAUCUUCAUCUGGAUACUUGCCCUCUGUCUCCAAGAGGCCAGUACACUGUGACUCAAGACUCCUGCAGUGUAAACUAUUUCAGUGGGACACUCAGUCAGUCUCAGCUGUAAGACAGCAGUGCUGUAUACAGUGAGGGCAAUGGACACUAUUUGCACUGGUAACAACAGAAACCUGGAGGAGCUCCUAAACUCCUGAUAGACUCCUGAUAUACCCUUCAGUCUGGGACUCCAUCUAGAGUCAGUGGCAGUGGAUCUGGGAGUGACUUCAGUCUGACCAUCAAGGGAGUCCAGGUUGAAGAUGCAGGAGAUUACUGUUGUCAGUGCACACUACUUAAGUGCCUGGGUGUUCACACAGUGAUACAGAGCCGUACAAAAAACUCCCUCAGUCAGACUGCGCAGUGACUCUACUGCUACAACAGGGAGUUAUUCCAGGUGCUGAGGGGAAGACAGUGACAUGGAAGACUGAUCAGUAGAGGAGGUCAACUUUGAAAAUGGCUAGAAAGUAUCAUACAAAUCACACGUUCUCCAACAUCGUCAUAACUGUCCUAAUCUUCAUGAUCAUCAUCAUCAUCAUGGCUGUAACUUGUUAUAUUGGUUCAUGAACUCAAAGUUUAUAUAAAAGUUAUUUGUAGUUUUGGAACACAUUACCAGUCCAUAUGCAGAGUAAGAUGUACAGAAGGAAAAAUAAUAGGGAUGUUAUUGAUGAUAACCAGUUAUUGAUGUGAUCAUCUAGCAUGCAUUAACCAUUUUCAUGAGCUGUUAGAUCUGUGAAUGAGACAUGAUGUGUUUGAGACACAUAUAUGUAGAUACAUACACUUUACGCUAUUAUCAUAAAGUACAAUAACCAUUUUAUCUGUCUAUUAAUUACAUGGUGAAUCCACCAUAGAUGUUAAACCAGUCCACUUCCUCACAUCUGGCCCAGCCCAGGGUAUUUCACUUAGUUAAACUGUUCAACUGCUAGACUGAUAGCUGUGAGAGUGAAACUGAGAUUUGCAUAAACAGGGAUUGUUGAUUCUGCUUGUCCCAGAAUAGAGCAGCACUGUCACCAUGUUAGCAAUUCAACAUUAUAAAUAUAUUUGUUAUGGAAAGUAACUGUUUAGCAGUGUGAGUUCUGAGAGCCGAUCUCAGAGGUUUAUUAUCACUUGUAUUGGAGCUACAGUAUAACAGGAUCAUUCAGUUGUAGAAAUUAUUGCAGAGUUUUUGUUGGAUCAGAUGCCUUUUUCAUUCUGUUUGAAAAAAUUAGAGUAGCGAUAUGCUACAAUGCUGAAAUAAUAGAAAAAGAUUAUUGAUGUAAAUUAGUAUUGAAACGUGCUGCAAAUUCAUAAGAUAGUGAUCACAGGAAUCAUGAUAAAAUCAACUAUUGGGGUUAUAUUUCAAUUAAAACAAUCUUUAUCUCAGAGGCAAGAAGACAUGUACAAUUUUUUUUCACCUUAAUUUAACCAGGUAGGCCAGUUGAGAACAAGUUCUCAUAUACAACUGCGACCUGGCCAAGAUAAAGCAAAGCAGUGCGACACAAACAACAACAUAGAGUUACACAUGGAAUAAACAAAUGUACAGUCAAUAACACAAUAGAAAAGUCUAUAUACAGUGUGAGCAAAUCAGGUAAGAUUAGGGAGGUAAGGCAAUAAAUAGGCCGUAGUGGCGAAGCAAUUACAAUUUAGCAAUUAAACACUGGAGUGAUAGAUGUGCAGAAGAUGAAUGUGAGAUACAAGAGAUACUAGUAGAGAUACUGGUGGGCAAAGGAGC
ensembl:lncRNA